rnacentral:rRNA from 1 species
AUUGAACGCUGGCGGCAGGCCUAACACAUGCAAGUCGAGCGGGGUUUUCGGACCUAGCGGCGGACGGGUGAGUAAUGCGUAGGAAGCUGCCCGAUAGAGGGGGAUACCAGUUGGAAACGACUGUUAAUACCGCAUAAUGUCUACGGACCAAAGUGUGGGACCUUCGGGCCACAUGCUAUCGGAUGCGCCUACGUGGGAUUAGCUAGUUGGUGAGGUAAUGGCUCACCAAGGCGACGAUCUCUAGCUGGUUUGAGAGGAUGAUCAGCCACACUGGAACUGAGCGACGGUCCAGACUCCUACGGGAGGCAGCAGUGGGGAAUAUUGGACAAUGGGCGCAAGCCUGAUCCACCCAUGCCGCGUGUGUGAAGAAGGCCUUCGGGUUGUAAAGCACUUUCAGCGAGGAGGAAGGGGUUGUAGUUAAUAGCUGCAACCUUUGACGUUACUCGCAGAAGAAGCACCGGCUAACUCUGUGCCAGCCGCCGCCGUAAAAC